rnacentral:rRNA from 1 species
UACGGAGGGUGCAAGCGUUAUCCGGAUUCACUGGGUUUAAAGGGUGCGUAGGCGGGUAGGUAAGUCAGUGGUGAAAUCUCAGAGCUUAACUCUGAAACUGCCAUUGAUACUAUCUAUCUUGAAUAUUGUGGAGGUUUGCGGAAUAUGUCAUGUAGCGGUGAAAUGCUUAGAUAUGACAUAGAACACCUAUUGCGAAGGCAGCAGGCUACACAUAUAUUGACGCUGAGGCACGAAAGCGUGGGGAUCAAACAGG